UACGAAGGUCCCAAGCGUUGUUCGGAAUUACUGGGCGUAAAGCGUGCGUAGGCGGCGAGGUAAGUCAGAUGUGAAAUCCCGGGGCUCAACCCCGGAACUGCAUCCGAUACUGCCUUGCUAGAGUAAUGGAGGGGCAUCUGGAAUUCACGGUGUAGCAGUGAAAUGCGUGGAUAUCGUGAGGAACACUAGUGGCGAAGGCGAGAUGCUGGACAUUUACUGACGCUGAGGUACGAAGGCCAGGGGAGCGAACGGG
rnacentral:rRNA from 1 species